AUGUCAAUGCUCCAAUAAAAUUAGUAAGUGAUUCCCCUGCAUUAUUUAUUGUGUUCUAUUGUUCUUUAUGCACAAAAGAAAUGCUAAUCAUUUCCUUGCUCAAUAAUCUAAUACCUAAUAUAUGCAGACCUUUCUAAUUGAUCUAAUGACCAUAAUUUGGUGUGUCAGUCUGAUGCAUUUUCCUCAUUAAUGAUUAUAUAUUCUGGGUGAUGUUAGUUUUGGUGCAUUGAUUGAUUUGUUUUGAGCCCUAGAUGUUCUGCCUUGAUUAAAUUUUCUCAGGAAAUAUUAUUUUCCUCUUCCUCCAUUGUCUGUAAUUAGAGGUGUAAAUGACCUGAACUUUAAAACUCAAACUUGGCAUACUCGCUUUAUUACGCUCAAACGGCUCAAGAAGAUCAAUUAGCUAAAUUAUUUAAAAAAAAAAAUUCUUUUAUUAAUGAUUAGCUAAAUCUCAUUUAAUGAUAGGCACAAUAAAUUAUAGUGACGUCAUCCAUUAAAUUACAAUGACCAUAAGUACAUAAAUUUUAUAUAGUUAUAUAUUUA
rnacentral:misc_RNA from 1 species